rnacentral:rRNA from 1 species
UACGUAGGGCGCAAGCGUUGUCCGGAAUUAUUGGGCGUAAAGAGCUCGUAGGCGGUCUGUCGCGUCGGCUGUGAAAACCCGAGGCUCAACCUCGGGCCUGCAGUCGAUACGGGCAGACUAGAGUGCUGUAGGGGAGACUGGAAUUCCUGGUGUAGCGGUGAAAUGCGCAGAUAUCAGGAGGAACACCGGUGGCGAAGGCGGGUCUCUGGGCAGUAACUGACGCUGAGACGCGAAAGCGUGGGGAGCAAACAGG